UGCAAGUCGAGGGGCAGCGGGAUUGAAGCUUGCUUCAAUUGCCGGCGACCGGCGCACGGGUGAGUAACGCGUAUCCAACCUUCCGCUUACUCGGGGAUAGCCUUUCGAAAGAAAGAUUAAUACCCGAUGGCAUAAUGAUUCCGCAUGGUUUCAUUAUUAAAGAAUUUCGGUCAUCGAUGGGGAUGCGUUCCAUUAGGUUGUUGGCGGGGUAACGGCCCACCAAGCCUUCGAUGGAUAGGGGUUCUGAGAGGAAGGUCCCCACAUUGGAACUGAGACACGGUCCAAACUCC
rnacentral:rRNA from 1 species